rnacentral:rRNA from 1 species
GCCACCUUCGGGUGGUGGAAAGUGGCAGACGGGUGAGUAACGCGUGGGAACGUGCCCUUCGGUUCGGGAUAACCCAGGGAAACUUGGGCUAAUACCGGAUACGCCCUUCGGGGGAAAAAUUUAUUGCCGAAGGAUCGGCCCGCGUCGGAUUAGCUUGUUGGUGGGGUAAAAGCCUACCAAGGCGACGAUCCGUAGCUGGUCUGAGAGGAUGAUCAGCCACACUGGGACUGAGACACGGCCCAGACUCCUACGGGAGGCAGCAGUGGGGAAUAUUGGACAAUGGGCGAAAGCCUGAUCCAGCCAUGCCGCGUGGGUGAAGAAGGCCUUAGGGUUGUAAAUCCCUUUCAGCGGGGAAGAUAAUGACGGUACCCGCAGAAGAAGCCCCGGCUAACUCCGUGCCAGCAGCCGCGGUAAUACGGAGGGGGCUAGCGUUGUUCGGAAUUACUGGGCGUAAAGCGCGCGUAGGCGGACCUGCAGGUCGGGGGUGAAAGCCCGAGGCUCAACCUCGGAACUGCCUUCGAUACUGCGGGUCUUGAGUCCGGGAGAGGUGAGCGGAAUUCCUAGUGUAGAGGUGAAAUUCGUAGAUAUUA